UUAAGCGACUAAGCGUACACGGUGGAUGCCCUGGCAGUCAGAGGCGAUGAAGGACGUGCUAAUCUGCGAAAAGCGUCGGUAAGGUGAUAUGAACCGUUACAGCCGGCGAUGUCCGAAUGGGGAAACCCAGUGCAAUUCGUUGCACUAUCGUUUGAUGAAUACAUAGUCAAACGAGGCGAACCGGGGGAACUGAAACAUCUAAGUACCCCGAGGAAAAGAAAUCAACCGAGAUUCCCCCAGUAGCGGCGAGCGAACGGGGAGCAGCCCGGAGUCUGAAUCAGCUUGUGUGUUAGUGGAAGCGUCUGGAAAGUCGCAGGGUACAGGGUGAUACUCCCGUACACUAAAACACACAGGCUGUGAACUCGAAGAGUAGGGCGGGACACGUGGUAUCCUGUCUGAAUAUGGGGGGACCAUCCUCCAAGGCUAAAUACUCCUGACUGACCGAUAGUGAACCAGUACCGUGAGGGAAAGGCGAAAAGAACCCCGGCGAGGGGAGUGAAAAAGAACCUGAAACCGUGUACGUACAAGCAGUAGGAGCCCACUUGUUGGGUGACUGCGUACCUUUUGUAUAAUGGGUCAGCGACUUAUAUUCUGUAGCAAGGUUAACCGUAUAGGGGAGCCGCAGGGAAACCGAGUCUUAACUGGGCGUUAAGUUGCAGGGUAUAGACCCGAAACCCGGUGAUCUAGCCAUGGGCAGGUUGAAGGUUGGGUAACACUAACUGGAGGACCGAACCGACUAAUGUUGAAAAAUUAGCGGAUGACUUGUGGCUGGGGGUGAAAGGCCAAUCAAACCGGGAGAUAGCUGGUUCUCCCCGAAAGCUAUUUAGGUAGCGCCUCGUGAACUCAUCUUCGGGGGUAGAGCACUGUUUCGGCUAGGGGGUCAUCCCGACUUACCAACCCGAUGCAAACUACGAAUACCGAAGAAUGUUAUCACGGGAGACACACGGCGGGUGCUAACGUCCGUCGUGAAGAGGGAAACAACCCAGACCGCCAGCUAAGGUCCCAAAGUCAUGGUUAAGUGGGAAACGAUGUGGGAAGGCCCAGACAGCCAGGAUGUUGGCUUAGAAGCAGCCAUCAUUUAAAGAAAGCGUAAUAGCUCACUGGUCGAGUCGGCCUGCGCGGAAGAUGUAACGGGGCUAAACCAUGCACCGAAGCUGCGGCAGCGACACUAUGUGUUGUUGGGUAGGGGAGCGUUCUGUAAGCCGUUGAAGGUGGCCUGUGAGGGUUGCUGGAGGUAUCAGAAGUGCGAAUGCUGACAUAAGUAACGAUAAUGCGGGUGAAAAACCCGCACGCCGGAAGACCAAGGGUUCCUGUCCAACGUUAAUCGGGGCAGGGUGAGUCGACCCCUAAGGCGAGGCCGAAAGGCGUAGUCGAUGGGAAACAGGUUAAUAUUCCUGUACUUGGUGUUACUGCGAAGGGGGGACGGAGAAGGCUAUGUUGGCCGGGCGACGGUUGUCCCGGUUUAAGCGUGUAGGUGUGUGUUCCAGGUAAAUCCGGUUCACUUUAACACUGAGGCGUGAUGACGAGGCACUACGGUGCUGAAGUGACAAAUGCCCUGCUUCCAGGAAAAGCCUCUAAGCAUCAGGUAACAUCAAAUCGUACCCCAAACCGACACAGGUGGUCAGGUAGAGAAUACCAAGGCGCUUGAGAGAACUCGGGUGAAGGAACUAGGCAAAAUGGUGCCGUAACUUCGGGAGAAGGCACGCUGAUAUGUAGGUGAAGUGGUUUACCCAUGGAGCUGAAAUCAGUCGAAGAUACCAGCUGGCUGCAACUGUUUAUUAAAAACACAGCACUGUGCAAACACGAAAGUGGACGUAUACGGUGUGACGCCUGCCCGGUGCCGGAAGGUUAAUUGAUGGGGUUAUCCGUAAGGAGAAGCUCUUGAUCGAAGCCCCGGUAAACGGCGGCCGUAACUAUAACGGUCCUAAGGUAGCGAAAUUCCUUGUCGGGUAAGUUCCGACCUGCACGAAUGGCGUAAUGAUGGCCAGGCUGUCUCCACCCGAGACUCAGUGAAAUUGAACUCGCUGUGAAGAUGCAGUGUACCCGCGGCAAGACGGAAAGACCCCGUGAACCUUUACUAUAGCUUGACACUGAACACUGGUCCUUGAUGUGUAGGAUAGGUGGGAGGCUUUGAAGUGUGGACGCCAGUCUGCAUGGAGCCAUCCUUGAAAUACCACCCUUUAAUGGCUGGUGUUCUAACGUGGGCCCGUAAUCCGGGUUGCGGACAGUGUCUGGUGGGUAGUUUGACUGGGGCGGUCUCCUCCUAAAGAGUAACGGAGGAGCACGAAGGUCAGCUAAUCCUGGUCGGACAUCAGGAGGUUAGUGCAAUGGCAUAAGCUGGCUUGACUGCGAGCGUGACGGCGCGAGCAGGUGCGAAAGCAGGUCAUAGUGAUCCGGUGGUUCUGAAUGGAAGGGCCAUCGCUCAACGGAUAAAAGGUACUCCGGGGAUAACAGGCUGAUACCGCCCAAGAGUUCAUAUCGACGGCGGUGUUUGGCACCUCGAUGUCGGCUCAUCACAUCCUGGGGCUGAAGUAGGUCCCAAGGGUAUGGCUGUUCGCCAUUUAAAGUGGUACGCGAGCUGGGUUUAGAACGUCGUGAGACAGUUCGGUCCCUAUCUGCCGUGGGCGCUGGAGAAUUGAGGGGGGCUGCUCCUAGUACGAGAGGACCGGAGUGGACGCAUCACUGGUGUUCGGGUUGUCAUGCCAAUGGCAUUGCCCGGUAGCUAAAUGCGGAAGAGAUAAGUGCUGAAAGCAUCUAAGUACGAAACUUGCCCCGAGAUGAGUUCUCCCUGACUCCUUGAGAGUCCUGAAGGAACGUUGAAGACGACGACGUUGAUAGGCCGGGUGUGUAAGCGCAGCGAUGCGUUGAGCUAACCGGUACUAAUGAACCGUGAGGCUUAACCU
rnacentral:rRNA from 1 species